rnacentral:piRNA from 2 species
GGAACUCACUUUGUAGACCAGGC